CAGCGUGAGUAGCGCGUCUAAUAAUUAAUCCAUCUACACGGUUCGCAGGGGGAAAAAAUAUCUGCCUGUACACAGGUUGGAGAUGAACCGGUGGCUUUUUUUUUGGGUGCGAAUUAAUUGGUGUAUUUAUGUCAUCCUAAUCUUAAUCUUCCUGUCAAAUCUCUGGUGUCUCUCUGUAUUCACGUGUCGUAAGGUGUCGACAUGAUGACGAUCGACUGAGAUGCAGAACUACUGCGUUAUAUAAAUACAUGGGAUUCCAAGGAUUGAGAACCCACAGAGUAUCUACAGGUUCAUGCGUCCGUGAUGAAGAGGUGAUCGAUCGAUCCCAGAGGAGUGAUGCCUGAGGACACAGAACCAUGUGGGCAAAAUGCCUUGUUGAUUCGUCUGUGUUCUCAGGUCACCCCUUUGGGCCACAUCGUUCUCAGUUCAUCAAUACGGAAUCUUCGAUUUAUGUAGUGCAUCAUAAACUACGAAAGGAUGCUUCAGUCUAAACUGUUUUAGUUUAGUUUUUUUUUCCCCCACCAUUCACUUGCACAUGACGCAUGAUUGUCUAGAAUGAGCUAAUUACUCUGCAUAUGUUUUCUGAUUCAGGCAGGAAUGUGUCUUCGUCGUUCUUUGAAGGGGCAAUGAAGCUGUGAGGAUGGAUCUAAACAAGCGAUCAAACACCACGGGAUUUCCAGCGUGAAUUUGUCAAGAAGUUGUUAUAUGGAAAAGUCAGAUUUGCAAAAUUUUAAUUACGUGUGAAUUAUUAGACUAAAUCUUGCUCAUUAUUGUUAAGAUGACUAUGUUUCUUUGACAACAGACUGAGUUGCAAGACUGCUCUUAAAAGGAUGUCCAUCCUAAAAUGAAUUUGCUACACAGGAAGGAAACAUUAAAUCCUAUAUCCUUAAUGUUAUCUUCUGGGGUCUGAUGAACUGCAGCAGAUGGGAUGAACAUGCAAUCAGCAGAGGGCACUUGCCCUGUGGAGCCUCACAUGUGACAUGCCAACACAUGCUGAUGCAUAUAAAGGAUGCUGAUCACAGGCACUCCAAAGAAUAAAUAUUCUGAAAAGUCGGAUCUGUGACAAAAUUUAGACAUUCAGACAAAGUAAGAUCUGACCGAUAAUCAAGUUUGCACAUUUAAGUCAAAAACUCGCCAAUCACAUACGCGCUCCAAAUACAGCAUCUCUGCUAAACUUUUUCUUUGCUAGAUUUAAGUAUAGGCUUUAGACCAAUAUCUCAGGUUAAGUGGAGCACAUGGCGACCUUUUCCUACUGUAGAGGAACUCCUCCAAUUUUGAUAUACUUAGUGACUUGAGUAAAAAAAAAAAUUGUAGUGUAGCAUUAA